rnacentral:lncRNA from 1 species
ACUCUUUCGGCGCUAGCGGCGGCUGGAAGGGACGAGAGCCUGGCCUAGGAGGAAGGAGGCGGCUCCAGGACCGCAUUACCUGAUCAGAGCCGCGACCCUCAUGCUGGGCGCAGUGCGCGUGCGUGCGGCGAGCGCGGGCGGGAGCCAGGAGGUCGCGCCGCAGCUCGCGUGACGCACCGCGGGGCCUCGCCCGGGUGUUCGCUCCGCCGCCUGUCCGCGGAUCGGCGCUGCGAGCCCCGCGGCUGCCUGCGGGACACCUGAGCGCGGAGGGUGCGGCACCUUGGCACCUUGACCCUGUGGCAGGGACAUCUCGGCCCAGGAAAGAAUGAGGUUUAGGCACGGCCUAACCACCUAAGUGAGGGCACUGAAGCUGCCGGGGGAAGGGCAAGGUCCGCGUUGCAGAGCCCAAGCCCAGUGGCGCAGGAUUUGUUUUGAUUGGAUGAAAUUGGUGAAGGUAGAUCUUCCUUA